rnacentral:hammerhead_ribozyme from 1 species
AUCCAGCUGACGAGUCUCAAAUAGGACUAAACGCGCGUCCUGGAU